UACGUAGGGGGCAAGCGUUGUCCGGAAUCAUUGGGCGUAAAGAGCGCGUAGGCGGCCCGAUAAGUCCGCUGUGAAAGUCAAGGGCUCAACCCUUGAAUGCCGGUGGAUACUGUCGGGCUAGAGUCCGGAAGAGGCGAGUGGAAUUCCUGGUGUAGCGGUGAAAUGCGCAGAUAUCGAGAGGAACACCUGCGGCGAAGGCGGGUUGCUGGGCUGAUACUGACGCUGAGGCGCGAAAGCCAGGGGAGCGAACGGG
rnacentral:rRNA from 1 species